UCGCCUUAGAGUUUGAUCAUGGCUCAGGACGAACGCUGGCGGCGUGCCUAACACAUGCAAGUCGAACGGAGCCAAUCGAAUGAAUUUUUCGGAAGGAUUUUGAGGAAGCUUAGUGGCGGACGGGCGAGUAACGCGUGAAUAACCUGCCCAUAAGAGGGGGAUAAUCCAUGGAAACGUGGACUAAUACCGCAUAUUGAGCAUAAACCGCAUGGUUUAUGGUUGAAAGAUUUAUCGCUUAUGGAUGGAUUCGCGUCAGAUUAGCUGGUUGGUAGGGUAACGGCCUACCAAGGCGACGAUCUGUAGCCGAACUGAGAGGUUGAUCGGCCGCAUUGGGACUGAGACACGGCCCAGACUCCUACGGGAGGCAGCAGUGGGGAAUAUUGCGCAAUGGGGGAAACCCUGACGCAGCAACGCCGCGUGCAGGAAGAAGGUCUUCGGAUUGUAAACUGUUGUCGCGAGGGAAGAAGAAAGUGACGGUACCUCGUGAGAAAGUCACGGCUAACUACGUGCCAGCAGCCGCGGUAAUACGUAGGUGACAAGCGUUGUCCGGAUUUACUGGGUGUAAAGGGCGCGUAGGCGGACCGGCGAGUCAGGAGUGAAAUACCGGGGCUCAACCCCGGGGCUGCUUUUGAAACUGUCGGCCUUGAGUAUCGGAGAGGAAAGCGGAAUUCCCAGUGUAGCGGUGAAAUGCGUAGAUAUUGGGAGGAACACCAGUGGCGAAGGCGGCUUUCUGGACGACAACUGACGCUGAGGCGCGAAAGUGUGGGGAGCAAACAGGAUUAGAUACCCUGGUAGUCC
rnacentral:rRNA from 1 species